UCUCCGUAGGUGAACCUGCGGAGGGAUCAUUACCGAGUGAGGGUCUCUCGACCCAACCUCCAACCCUUUGUUAAUGAAUAUUCGUUGCCUUGGGGGGCUUCGCCUCGCGGGUCUCCCAACGGUCUCACAACACUGCAUCUUUGCGUCGGAGUAAUGUAAUCAAUCAAUUAAAACUUUUAACAACGGAUCUCUUGGUUCUG
rnacentral:misc_RNA from 1 species